AUUCCGGUUGAUCCUGCCGGAGGCUAUUGCUAUCGGUGUCCGAUUUAGCCAUGCGAGUUGUACGUCUAACGUAGCAGACUGCUCAGUAACACGUGGCCGAUCUACCCUAUGGACUGGGAUAACCACGGGAAACUGUGGCUAAUCCCUGAUAGCGCUCCCGAGCUUGAAUGCUGGGAGCGUCAAAUGCUCCGGCGCCAUAGGAUGAGGCUGCGGCCGAUUAGGUAGACGGUGAGGUAACGGCUCACCGUGCCAAUAAUCGGUACGGGUCAUGAGAGUGAGAACCCGGAGACGGAAUCUGAGACAAGAUUCCGGGCCCUACGGGGCGCAGCAGGCGCGAAACCUUUACACUGCACGCCAGUGCGAUAGGGGGACACCGAGUGCGUAGGCAUAGAGCCUACGCUUUUGUGUACCGUAAGGUGGUACACGAAUAAGGGCUGGGCAAGACCGGUGCCAGCCGCCGCGGUAACACCGGCAGCCCGAGUGAUGGCCGAUAUUAUUGGGCCUAAAGCGUCCGUAGCUGGCCGCGUAGGUCCGUCGGGAAAUCUACUGGCUUAACCAGUAGGCGUCCGGCGGAAACCUCGUGGCUUGGGACCGGAAGACCUGAGGGGUACGUCUGGGGUAGGAGUGAAAUCCCGUAAUCCUGGACGGACCACCGGUGGCGAAAGCGCCUCAGGAAGACGGAUCCGACAGUGAGGGACGAAAGCUAGGGUCUCGAACCGGAUUAGAUACCCGGGUAGUCCUAGCCGUAAACGAUGCUCGUUAGGUGUGGCGCAGGCUACGAGCCUGCGCUGUGCCGUAGGGAAGCCGAGAAACGAGCCGCCUGGGAAGUACGUCCGCAAGGAUGAAACUUAAAGGAAUUGGCGGGGGAGCACUACAACCGGAGGAGCCUGCGGUUUAAUUGGACUCAACGCCGGACAUCUCACCAGCUCCGACAGCAGUAAUGACAGUCAGGUUGACGACCUUACUCGACGCUGCUGAGAGGAGGUGCAUGGCCGCCGUCAGCUCGUACCGUGAGGCGUCCUGUUAAGUCAGGCAACGAGCGAGACCCGCACCUCUAGUUGCCAGCAGCAUCUUGCGAUGGCUGGGUACACUAGGGGGACUGCCGUCGCUAAGACGGAGGAAGGAACGGGCAACGGUAGGUCAGUAUGCCCCGAAUGAGCUGGGCAACACGCGGGCUACAAUGGUCAAGACAAUGGGAUGCGACGCCGAGAGGCGAAGCUAAUCUCCUAAACUUGGUCGUAGUUCGGAUUGCGGACUGAAACCCGUCCGCAUGAAGCUGGAUUCGGUAGUAAUCGCGUGUCAGAAGCGCGCGGUGAAUACGUCCCUGCUCCUUGCACACACCGCCCGUCAAAUCACCCGAGUGGGGUCCGGAUGAGGCUGUCAUGCGACAGUCGAAUCUGGGCUCCGCAAGGGGGAUUAAGUCGUAACAAGGUAGCCGUAGGGGAAUCUGCGGCUGGAUCACCUCCUAAAGACCGG
rnacentral:rRNA from 3 species